rnacentral:misc_RNA from 1 species
GGCACAUGCUCACUUUGUGGUUCAAGCUAGAAAGUUUGUGGAAGACUUUCCUGUUAAACUACAGCAAAAAAUUGAACAGAUUUCUCAGGAGAUGGAUAAACUGACAGCAGAAUUUAGAGCACUUGAGGAUCAACGAGAGUUUCAUCAAAGACAUGAGAAAUCUACAACAAUCAGCUUAAAGAAGCAGUUCUGUAAUGUCCCUUUGGCAAUAAAAUGGAAGCCAGCAGCUGAUGGUUUGCUAUGAUAUGUAAAUAGAUGUCUUGUAGUUGGCUGUCCAGGUAAUUUCCUG